UACAGAGGUCUCCAGCGUUGUUCGGAUUCAUUGGGCGUCAAGGGUGCGUAGGCGGCGCGGUAAGUCGGGUGUGAAAUCUCGGAGCUUAACUCCGAAACUGCAUUCGAUACUGCCGUGCUUGAGGACUGGAGAGGAGACUGGAAUUUACGGUGUAGCGGUGAAAUGCGUAGAUAUCGUAAGGAAGACCAGUGGCGAAGGCGGGUCUCUGGACAGUUCCUGACGCUGAGGCACGAAGGUCAGGGGAGCAAACGGG
rnacentral:rRNA from 1 species